UCUAACGUGGCAGAUAAGUGCGGUGGAUUUAAGCUCCACAAAUAAGGUCAUUAAGACUUUCAUUAGAA
rnacentral:tRNA from 1 species